rnacentral:rRNA from 1 species
CAUUAACUGAAUCCAUAGGUUAAUGAGGCGAACCGGGGGAACUGAAACAUCUAAGUACCCCGAGGAAAAGAAAUCAACCGAGAUUCCCCCAGUAGCGGCGAGCGAACGGGGAGGAGCCCAGAGCCUGAAUCAGUGUGUGUGUUAGUGGAAGCGUCUGGAAAGGCGCGCGAUACAGGGUGACAGCCCCGUACACAAAAAUGCACAUACUGUGAGCUCGAUGAGUAGGGCGGGACACGUGGUAUCCUGUCUGAAUAUGGGGGGACCAUCCUCCAAGGCUAAAUACUCCUGACUGACCGAUAGUGAACCAGUACCGUGAGGGAAAGGCGAAAAGAACCCCGGCGAGGGGAGUGAAAAAGAACCUGAAACCGUGUACGUACAAGCAGUGGGAGCCUCUUAAUGGGGUGACUGCGUACCUUUUGUAUAAUGGGUCAGCGACUUAUAUUCUGUAGCAAGGUUAACCGAAUAGGGGAGCCGAAGGGAAACCGAGUCUUAACUGGGCGUUAAGUUGCAGGGUAUAGACCCGAAACCCGGUGAUCUAGCCAUGGGCAGGUUGAAGGUUGGGUAACACUAACUGGAGGACCGAACCGACUAAUGUUGAAAAAUUAGCGGAUGACUUGUGGCUGGGGGUGAAAGGCCAAUCAAACCGGGAGAUAGCUGGUUCUCCCCGAAAGCUAUUUAGGUAGCGCCUCGUGAAUUCAUCUCCGGGGGUAGAGCACUGUUUCGGCAAGGGGGUCAUCCCGACUUACCAACCCGAUGCAAACUGCGAAUACCGGAGAAUGUUAUCACGGGAGACACACGGCGGGUGCUAACGUCCGUCGUGAAGAGGGAAACAACCCAGACCGCCAGCUAAGGUCCCAAAGUCAUGGUUAAGUGGGAAACGAUGUGGGAAGGCCCAGACAGCCAGGAUGUUGGCUUAGAAGCAGCCAUCAUUUAAAGAAAGCGUAAUAGCUCACUGGUCGAGUCGGCCUGCGCGGAAGAUGUAACGGGGCUAAACCAUGCACCGAAGCUGCGGCAGCGACACUAUGUGUUGUUGGGUAGGGGAGCG